rnacentral:rRNA from 1 species
UACGGGGGGGGCAAGCGUUGUUCGGAAUUACUGGGCGUAAAGGGCUCGUAGGUGGCCAACUAAGUCAGACGUGAAAUCCCUCGGCUUAACCGGGGAACUGCGUCUGAUACUGGAUGGCUUGAGUUCGGGAGAGGGAUGCGGAAUUCCAGGUGUAGCGGUGAAAUGCGUAGAUAUCGGCAGGAACACCAAGGGCGAAGGUAACCACCUGGGCAUCAGCUGACACUCAUGUGCGACAGCGUGGGGAGCGAACCGG